AGUCCAGAGGAUGGCAUGAUGGCUCUGUGCUGAAAAGGUGCAAGUAUCUGCUCAGCUGUCGGAAUAGCUGCCCUGUUGUCUCUUUAAAACAACCUGAAAAGUUCCCAUUGAUUGCAAAGGGUUCACAGCUUGUUGUUCUGGUGAAUCUCUGUUGGUGACCUCCUUCCUGCCUCGGAUGGAUCUAAGGAGGGUAGUUCCAAAAGAAACUUACACUGUAAAUAGAAUUUAUUGGUUUGGAGGGUUGGUAGCAUUUUUACUGGCAUUCCAGUGCGUGCUGCCAGUAUUGCAGCAGUGUCACAAUUCUCUAUAACACACUGUGGAAUUUCGAUUCUAAUGACUGUCAUAUUUUAGUGAAUUGACUUUCACAGGCAGUAGUGGAAGCAGGUUUUGUAAAGCUUGGUUUUAUUCUUGUGGAGAGCUACAUGACUCUUACACAUUAGAAAUGACUGAAAUUCGGCUAAACUGAGUGAAUUUUAACCCCUGGUGCUGAGAAGAGGUGUGAAGGAGAGAUGUAGGAAAGUACAUAGCACAGCAGGAGUUCUGGUCAGCUUUGGAAUUGUUCUUGCCAUGCCUGAUAACUGCUGUGACCCUUAGUACUCCGAGGAGCAGGCUACCUCCAAACUCAUCUUUUCAAGUACGUAUAUACUUGCAGUCAAGGUAAUGUUAUCAGUGAAAUGCUGGCAGUUGCUUCAGAAGUGCAGUGAUAGUGAGUGCUGCAAUUUGCAGUCAGAACUAAGCGAGGUAAACAGGAGUUUGGGAGUGCGGAGGCUCCGUCCUGAAAGGGAUGGAGUGUGCAUUGGGUGGCUGAAGUGUAAUGUAUAGAGCUGAUUUGUUUGGGAAGUUCUGAAAAAACUUUUUGAUAAUUUUCUUGUAUUCUCAUUUUAAACAGCAGCUUUAUGCAAUCUUUUGAUUAUCAGAGAAUGCAGAUUUUUAUUCAGUCUCUACUGGAAAAAGAUAGAAUUCUAGUACAGAAUUCAGAGAUUCUGUUGUAUAGUGAAUGCACUUCUGCUCCGUGGAAGUUCUUGGGAGGUGUGAGGGAGCCAGGUGCCUCGGCGUGCCACCUCUGCAGCCAGCCACGUCCCGUCCUGAGCUGUGUGCUCCUGGGUGUUAUCCUUCGGUCCUUUGUUCUCAGCGUCCUGAUGAGUCUGUGCUGCAGCAGAAUUUCAGCAUUUGCUACUUACUGGUAGAGAAGAAAUAUCCUACAGCACUGCCAGUACAGCAUUCAGUUUACAAAGAAGAUUCAAAGAAAAUACGGAGCAAACAUCAUUGGCAUCCCUUGGGAACCUUCUGUGAACUGUAUGUUUCAGGAAUAGAUAACUGCGCAUACGUAUGUAUAUAUAUAUAUAUAUACUGCUUUGUAACAGUCUCUGAUUAAAUAUAAGUGAA
ensembl:lncRNA